GUGUUAUUUUGUGUAUUUCCAGGUUGGAAAACCAAAGAGGAAAUUCCUAAGCUGGUUUCUGACUAUAUGGCACAGAAGUUUAACCUAGAUCCUCUGAUCACCCACACCCUGACUCUCAGUGAGGUCAAUGAGGCAAUUCAGCUAAUGAAAAGUGGGCAAUGUAUCCGCUGUGUCCUGCUACCAUAAUUACAAGAGCUACAUAUUUCAUCAUGGAUCAUGAUUUAAAGGAAUCCGCCACACAAUGCUUUUCUAUUUUCUUGGCUUUCAUUUACUCAGCAACAAUUUCGUAUCAAGCUUCUCACCUGACCACACCAUCGAAAUGAAUCCCAUGUGACCCAAUGCCAUGGAGAUCCAGCCUCCCUUUUACAGCCACGUUCAAGUUGAUGUGAAUCACCCAAUAGCAGAUGCUGCAGAUGAAGGCACACCAAGAGGCUCCAUUGGACAGCUGUCUCUACCUAGGGACACACAUUUCCUCACUCACUGGAUCUUUCCCACGCUGUAUGGAUCCACACAUGAAAGCUCUGGGGAUGGUCCACACGGUGCAGAAUUCCCACCGGAGAAAUAACUGGAACUGAUAAACAAUUGAGCUAGUGUUUAGGUCACACCACCAACACCACAAGAACCAAUAGUGUGGUUGUAUGACAAUAGCAAGGCAUCUGAUACGGAAAUCAAGGAAGCAAUCUCACAACUGCUAUGAAAUUGAUCUCACAAAUAAAUUAACAACAUAGAAACAAAUUUAGUCAAAGGUGAAAUAUUUCUACAAUAAAAAGUAUAAAACAUU